CUUUUCAAAAAUCAACGCGUCUCGAGUCACGAGUUCACGAACCGCGCUGAGGAGUGAGCACUGCAGUUUGUCUGGGCGGGAAUCUGAAGAAAGCUGGUUCUUGUGAAGAUGCAGUGGAAGUGUAAAUACUAUAUCUAAACUACCCCAAGUCUAUGAAGCUCACAUUUCAGUUCAUCCAACAGGUUCUUCUCACGUUGGGUCACAGUGAACUGAGACCAAGGCUACAAACACUGAAAAACCAGCUUGAAAUGUAAAGAAAUGUGUCAAGUAUGCUGUGAACAGCCAUAAUUUUAUUAUUUUCAGUCACUUUCAGAUGUGGCCAAAGUCAAGGUGUUGAAUGUAGGUUGUUAUACAGUUUGGUGUUCUUAAAGGAAGCCUUUGCUAUACAAAUAAUUUUUUGCUGUGCCUCUUACAAAUAUGCAAUUGUUCAGAAACGAGUUUGUUGGGGGGGUUUUUUGGGUUGUGCAAUACUGCAGAAUUAUUUUGCACUAUUUUGUGAAAAAAUGUUUUCUUAAUA